AACCAGCAGAAGACCGUCGUCAAAGAGCGACUGGAGCAGCUCAGAAGAGAGCGCUCGAAUGUCAUGCAGUCCAAAAGAGACAGAAAUACUGCAGGAUUUAAGGAACUCUUGGGUCCAGUUGCCCUCCACAACAGAGAAAGAGAGGAAGGAGAACACUGUGACACUGCUGUUUAAAUGACUGUCUGGCAAAAAUCUAAUAUUUCUAGUCCAAAAUGAUUCCUCAUUUGUUAUAAUGUCCUGCACAUCACUAAAUAGCACAGCAAAUUUACAAUUUCCUAAUCAGCACUGAUUCUCCCUAAUAUGCACCGAGGCUGUACAUGUAAAACAAAGCAGAUCCCAACACACAAUUAGUUGUUUAUUAUACAGUUUAAUUAUUAUCUUGACAACCAUAAGCAUCAACAAUAAUGUAUUUUAACAAUGACCCCCUUCAGUUGUGUACACAUUACCCCCCUCGGCCAAAA